rnacentral:tRNA from 1 species
GGCUGUGGCUCAGUGGUAGGGCACUUGCCUGGAACGUCUGAGGCACUGGGUUCAAUCCUCAGCACCA